rnacentral:tRNA from 1 species
GGAGAGGUGGCUGAGCGGUUGAAAGCGGCGGUCUUGAAAACCGUUUACGCCUUUAGGCGUACGGGGGUUCGAAUCCCUCCCUCUCCG